CUGUUCCAAUGCACAUUGUUAGCACCUUCGUACAUCAGCGUUAUCAGCUGGCGUGUUUGUUAGUAAUUUAAUCCAGCUCUUUGCUGCUCUAUCCUCAGGCUCUGUGUUGCAGCAGUCUGUGACUGUUUUGCCACUUUUCCCUUACAGACCUCAACCAUUGAAUUGGGGUUGGCAGCGAGUGCCGGUCUAUUUGGAGCACCUUUAGUGACUGCGUCAUCCCAAAGCUCUGCAUAAUGUAAUGCCGUUAUCCACAGCGCUCAAACUGGGAAACCCCAGCCCAGAACGGGGAGGUGCCCACUCCAGUGGACAAAUGGAAGGUGCUGGGGAUACAUCCAUCGCUGCUCAGGGCUUUAAAAAAGAACAGAGGAUGUAAUUCCUUCUAUUCUAUAGAAGGAUAGAUAUAGAUUCUAUAAGCCGGGAAUCAUAAGUUCACAAGGAUCAUCCAGUCCAACCCCUGGCUCCACACAGCAUCACCCAAAUCCAAACCCUAUGUCUGAGAGUGGUGUCCCAGUGCAGGUGCCGUCAUGCCUCCCCUCAUCCCUCUCUGCUCUGGGCUGUGCAAACCAAGUAGUUGUCUGCAAUGUAACAGUACUUUAUUUUUAGUAAACUCAUCACAAUUUCACAGUAAACCUGUGGUCAGUACCCAGGUUGAGAUGCCAUGCCACACACCCAAGCCUGUUCCUUCUUAGCAUCUGCUCCCCACAUUGCUGGCUUGCUUUCCAGAACCUGCCAAGCCCUGCAUUCGCCUUCACACCGGGCAGCAGCAGACACACAAUGCAGGUGUUGUGCUCAUUUACCUGUGCCUGUAUAAAAUACUGGUAGUACAACUUGCUAGUGUAAACAGGCCCAGAGCGAUUACUCGAGGCAAAGCAACAGGAAGAACUGCCCCAGAAGCUUUUUUUUUCUGUGAGCUGCUCCGUUCUGAAAGCCAUUGUGAAAGCACAAAGUCACAAGCAAAUGAUCUGCUUCCAGCCCCAGGCUGGGGACCCCGUACCAUUCAGAACAGGCUCUGUUUUCAGCCUUACCCCGAGGGGGAAGGAGCUGCCUGGCCUUCAUAUCUUGUAGGGAACACUGGGACCAGUACCCAGGUUGGGGGAUAUCACCACCAUCGCAUUGCCAGAUGUGGGGACAGCUGCAUGGAACAGGAACUGAUGGAGAAAGAAGGCUGGGAGCUGACGCAUUGGGCACCCUUUGUGCCACGUGCAUUCCUGGGCUCCGCUAAAACCCUUCUGCAGUUUUAGGGCAGAGUGGAAACUUGGCUGUAAUGGCAGGGCUUUCCUUUGCCAGCCCCAGUCCCUGUUUUGUAUGCUGCCAAAGCCCACAGAAAUUAGUAGAAAACCAACUGGAUUGGGUCCAUGGAGCCCGAGGACUCGCUUCCAUUCCUUCCCCUUUGAUCCCAGGAGAGAGCAUGUUUACCCAGUGGGGCCUCUCCAUCCCUCUUCAUGGGCCAAAUGCAGAAGUGGUAGCAACAGGUUUUUCACGCAGUUUAAUCGUUUUCUUUCUCACCUCAUUGGGUAGCAGCCUCUUUGUGUUUGUUUCUACAUGAUUUCCGUGUUUUUAUGUGAUUUUCUUUUUCUUCCUUCAGUAUGGCAUCUCCUUUGUGGGAGUCUAAUCGCAUUUCUGAGGGAGAGGCAGGAACUGUGUAACACUGCAGGCAAUGGAGAUGCUUCAGAUCUAUUGGUCACAGCAAGAUAAAGAUAAGGAAGAAAGCUUGAUGUCGCUCAGCUCCAGGUGGGAGUGAGAGAAGCCCUCUAGAUGUAUGGUGGAGAUAAUCAUAGAAUAAUCCAAAUUGGAAGGGACCCACAAAGAUCAUCAGGUCCAAGGAGGUGGAACAUCUGUUUAAACCCACACUGGAUCGCUGCCAGAUUAGUGGAAGGGAUAUGGUAUAAAGAAGACUUUUGUUUCCUUCGAGCAAGGAGAAAAAAUAAGUUACAAGUUGGUGCAUAUUGCUGAGAAGAAGCAACUUUUUCUCUCCAGAAGCAGAUGUCCUGUAGCGUUCGAAAAUGAAAUGUUUUUGUGUCUUGCAGGCAAAGGUUCUGCAUUUCAACAGUAUUGAUUGUCGGUUUGUACAGGCUGUCAGCCUGCCGUGGUUAACCUACCAGUUGUUUGAGAGACAAUCAAGAGCAAUUAAGAAUCACAUUUCACAGUUUCAAAUGCAUCCAUAUUGCCACUUUAUUCAAAAUCCUUUUUUUCCGUCUUGGAAAGUACACUGGUGAGAGAGAGGGAGUUGUUUUCUUUUUUCCCCCUGCCAACCAUAUUUUCAUUGCUGGCCAAAUUAAAAGAGAUAUAUAUUGCUCAUAAA